rnacentral:rRNA from 1 species
GGUUAAGCGACUAAGCGUACACGGUGGAUGCCCUGGCAGUCAGAGGCGAUGAAGGACGUGCUAAUCUGCGAUAAGCGUCGGUAAGGUGAUAUGAACCGUUAUAACCGGCGAUUUCCGAAUGGGGAAACCCAGUGUGAUUCGUCACACUAUCAUUAACUGAAUCCAUAGGUUAAUGAGGCGAACCGGGGGAACUGAAACAUCUAAGUACCCCGAGGAAAAGAAAUCAACCGAGAUUCCCCCAGUAGCGGCGAGCGAACGGGGAGCAGCCCAGAGCCUGAAUCAGUGUGUGUGUUAGUGGAAGCGUCUGGAAAGGCGCGCGAUACAGGGUGACAGCCCCGUACACAAAAAUGCACAUACUGUGAGCUCGAUGAGUAGGGCGGGACACGUGGUAUCCUGUCUGAAUAUGGGGGGACCAUCCUCCAAGGCUAAAUACUCCUGACUGACCGAUAGUGAACCAGUACCGUGAGGGAAAGGCGAAAAGAACCCCGGCGAGGGGAGUGAAAAAGAACCUGAAACCGUGUACGUACAAGCAGUGGGAGCCUCUUUAUGGGGUGACUGCGUACCUUUUGUAUAAUGGGUCAGCGACUUAUAUUCUGUAGCAAGGUUAACCGAAUAGGGGAGCCGAAGGGAAACCGAGUCUUAACUGGGCGUUAAGUUGCAGGGUAUAGACCCGAAACCCGGUGAUCUAGCCAUGGGCAGGUUGAAGGUUGGGUAACACUAACUGGAGGACCGAACCGACUAAUGUUGAAAAAUUAGCGGAUGACUUGUGGCUGGGGGUGAAAGGCCAAUCAAACCGGGAGAUAGCUGGUUCUCCCCGAAAGCUAUUUAGGUAGCGCCUCGUGAAUUCAUCUCCGGGGGUAGAGCACUGUUUCGGCAAGGGGGUCAUCCCGACUUACCAACCCGAUGCAAACUGCGAAUACCGGAGAAUGUUAUCACGGGAGACACACGGCGGGUGCUAACGUCCGUCGUGAAGAGGGAAACAACCCAGACCGCCAGCUAAGGUCCCAAAGUCAUGGUUAAGUGGGAAACGAUGUGGGAAGGCCCAGACAGCCAGGAUGUUGGCUUAGAAGCAGCCAUCAUUUAAAGAAAGCGUAAUAGCUCACUGGUCGAGUCGGCCUGCGCGGAAGAUGUAACGGGGCUAAACCAUGCACCGAAGCUGCGGCAGCGACGCUUAUGCGUUGUUGGGUAGGGGAGC